rnacentral:lncRNA from 1 species
AAAUUCGUGAUUAAACAAUACCCAUGUGUUACUACGACCCAUAAAUUACACAACAACUAUAUGAAUACAUGGACAUUGAUAUCUUUUGCUAUACAUUGUUUCUUUCUGAUUUUAUAUUAGAUAUUCGAACUCCUGUUCUAGCAGUAUACCAACCAGGUCCACCGAUACAUAGUGUGAAACAAUCCCUACAAUAUACGAAACAUUUUUUAUGACGUAGACAUCUUGUCGUUCCAAGAGUUUUUCAGGAGCUCAAACUUCAGGAGCUCAAACUUCAGAUAGAAAAUUGAGAAAUCAGAAAUUACGGUCACAAUAAUCAAUGAUUAAAGAAUAACUCGGCUAUGGUGAAAGCAUCCCCAAUUAGAUAGGUUAUCUUCUAGAAAGAUCAUAAAUAAAAGGAAGAGCACAUAUGCGCCAGGACAAGAAGGAACCGAGACAUAAAAAAUUGUUAGACUUGACUUGCUGCAUCAUAUCCAUGUCUUUUACUUCAACUUGUACCUUUAUAUCACUGAUGGAGAUAGGAUUAAAUCAACAGAGGAGUUUCUGCACGCUAGCAGUGUGAUGGUGGCACCAACGACUGCAGCCGAACAAAAAUAUAAAAGACAAUGUUCCCCGGGUCAAAUUCCCUCAUGAGAACUACACAAGCUGUUAUAGCACUUAUACACAGUUUCACUCUUUUGAUCCAGAAUAUAUACGCAAUUUUAUUCUUGGAUCAAAAGAGUGAAAAUGCGUAUAAGUGUUAUAGCAGCUCACUGGAUAUUGAGUAUCAAUCAUUCAAAACAGUUUUAUCAUUAGGUUGGCAUAAUGUUUUGUACAAGCUACUCAGAUCACUGGAUAUUGAUGCCAACAUAAUGCAUCUAAUUGAAUGAUUGAUCUAUACUAUGUUCGAGAAUUCAAACCUUCACAGAGCAAAACAAUCAGCCGGAAGAAAACACACUGGCGUACAAGCUCCUGUCGCGGGCACUCGUACAACACUGUUGUACAAACAUAACAACAGAUGAGAGGGUUCAAUGCAUGAGAGGGUUCAGAAAGGACAACUGGCUACUACAAAAACAAAAGCCACUUA